rnacentral:misc_RNA from 1 species
UGAUUACGUCCCUGCCCUUUGUACACACCGCCCGUCGCUACUACCGAUUGGAUGACUUAGUGAGGUCUUAGGACCGAAGUAAUGGAGCUUUCAUUAGUUCUUUUACUUUGGAAAUUUGAUCGAACUACGUUAUCUAGAGGAAGUAAAAGUCGUAACAAGGUUUCCGUAGGUGAACCUGCGGAAGGAUCAUUAACGAGCUAAAUAAAAUAUAUAAACCCGCCGGUCGAGCAGCGAAGAUCUCGCUGUUCUCCGGUCGUGUGUGCCCGUAGACCGGAUGGGAGAAGCGGUAGGCGCCUAAUCGAUGCGCACAGUCCGUCCAUCUUCGGUUAGUAGGGCGAACUAGCGAUGUAUCGGUGGGUUUCUCCUUGGAAAAGGGGGUCCCGUACUCCGACUCUGAUUCGGCUUUCUUCUCGCAAGACCGCGUGGUUGUGUCGGUUGUAGUUAGGCUACCCGAUCUGCCGGCGAUGCGGUGCGAUUCGAAGGUGUGCGGGGGUUUUCCCGCCGUCGAUGGAAAGGGUCGUUUGUUCGGGGACCGGCUUGGGGAAAGGCCGCCGUUUAUCGUCUGGUAUUAUCAGACGUCUGGAAUUGAGCUUUCAAAGAGCGCGGGGAAAAACGUACCGUGGAUUGCUCCGUUACGAAGGCUUAAUUCUUCUUCGGGUACCUAUCAGCUCUGCUUACGCUACAGUUCCGUCUGGCUGUAAAGAGACGCGUCAGAGUUGGAAUCCUUACUCUCUUGAGAAGGUGAGGCUCAAAGAGUCGUCGGCUCCUGGACUCGGUAUUCGGCUUCUGCCGGGCAUCGAGGGAUCUUCCGUUGGAGCGGCUGUUUCGGAACCGGGAAUACGUACGAUACGGUGCGUUGGUUCUGAGCGGUUCUGGGCGCCCCGCUUAGGCGGGCGUCCGGGCGACCGCCCGAAAUCCAAACCUAUACGUUUUAAAAUAAAGCUUAAUCCUAUCGAUUGGAUAGGAUAAAGUAAUGAAUAAAGAAUCCUGGAGAUUCCAUUCUAAGCGGUGGAUCACUAGGCUCGCGGGUCGAUGAAGAACGGGGCCAGCCCCGAGAAUAAGUGCGAAUUGCAGACACAAAGAGCAUCGACUUUUCGAACGCACAUUGCGGUAUCGGGCCUACUCGAUACCACGCCUGUCUGAGGGUCGAAUAAGAAUAUAUAAAGUCGUCAGUUUCGACCGUCCUUACCUCAGUUUCUUUGGAAAAUAUAAAGGAGCGUGGUUAGGGGAAUGCGGUUUCGAACGAGGAAAAUGGCUUGAGACGUUGGCAAACACCGGCUCUGGGAAUGUUAGAGCUGGGCGUUGUCGCCGUCGUUAAGCCUCAAGGCGGAAGCGGUCGUGGCGAUGGAAAACUAUAUAUCGCGGCGGCCGCGGUUUGUACGCCAGCGGCGGGUCCUAUAUAAUAUAAGUCCCGUCGUAAGCGGAGGUAAUGAGCUCGUGUAGCGGCGAUUCGGCCAUUCUCUCUUCGGAGAUGGAAUUUAUAUAAUGGCUCCGUUCGCCUGAUAAGCUACGUACAUACAGAGCGCGCUAUCUCUUAUUUUAUAUAUUUGACCUCAGAUUAGACGUGAAAACCCGCUGAAUUUAAGCAUAUAACUAGGCGGAGGAAAAGAAAUUAACGAAGAUUUCCUUAGUAACGGCGAGUGAAA